GUUCAUCCAGCAAUGGCGGCCACGACCAGCGAAGGUGAUGUAAACAGAAAAAAAACUUAAGCACAUAAUCUUUGAAAGACCUUCGAAAUACUUAAUGUAAAAAAGACUGUCUAAUUAAAAUACACAAGAACAAACACGCAUCAGAGGGAUUCACAAAGACGGGUGAAUAUGCUUAGCAACCUGAGCCUGAAUAUGCUUCUAAAAGUUAUGCUGAUAAAAAAUAUGUACUUUUGACCAAUUCUAUUUUGUGCCUCUUAUAAUACUAUAUGAGUACACUGUACCUUCCAA